rnacentral:misc_RNA from 1 species
GGCGUGGAUCCGUAUCAUCGGAUUCGACAACGUUCGCCAAGUGCAAUGCAUCAGUUUCAUUGCUUCCAAACCAGAUGGUUACUAAGCAAAUUUUCGAUCUAAUAACCUAUAUAUAAAUAUGAUGAUCGGGUUUGUUUGAAUCUUUAGGACUCAUCAAUUUCUUUUUCAAUUUUGGAAAUUUUCAUUUUUCGUGAAUUAUGUGUAUUUUGUUGUUUAUGUCCGG